UACGGGGGGAGCAAGCGUUGUUCGGAUUUACUGGGCGUAAAGGGCGCGUAGGCGGUCAGCACAAGUCAGUUGUGAAAUCUCCGGGCUUAACUCGGAAAGGUCAACUGAUACUGUGCGACUAGAGUGCAGAAGGGGCAACUGGAAUUCUCGGUGUAGCGGUGAAGUGCGUAGAUAUCGAGAGGAACACCUGCGGCGAAGGCGGGUUGCUGGGCUGACACUGACGCUGAUGCGCGAAAGCCAGGGGAGCGAACAGG
rnacentral:rRNA from 1 species